rnacentral:rRNA from 1 species
AGCGAACGCUGGCGGCAGGCCUAACACAUGCAAGUCGAGCGGGGUGAUGGUGCUUGCACUAUCACUUAGCGGCGGACGGGUGAGUAAUGCUUAGGAAUCUGCCUAUUAGUGGGGGACAACAUCUCGAAAGGGAUGCUAAUACCGCAUACGUCCUACGGGAGAAAGCAGGGGAUCACUUGUGACCUUGCGCUAAUAGAUGAGCCUAAGUCGGAUUAGCUAGUUGGUGGGGUAAAGGCCUACCAAGGCGACGAUCUGUAGCGGGUCUGAGAGGAUGAUCCGCCACACUGGGACUGAGACACGGCCCAGACUCCUACGGGAGGCAGCAGUGGGGAAUAUUGGACAAUGGGGGGAACCCUGAUCCAGCCAUGCCGCGUGUGUGAAGAAGGCCUUAUGGUUGUAAAGCACUUUAAGCGAGGAGGAGGCUCUUUUGGUUAAUACCCAAGAUGAGUGGACGUUACUUGCAGAAUAAGCACCGGCUAACUCUGUGCCAGCCGCCGCAGUAA